UACAGAGGGGGCAAGCGUUAUUCGGAAUUAUUGGGCGUAAAGGGCGCGUAGGCGGUCGUGCAAGUGGAAGGUGAAAUCCCUCGGCUCAACCGAGGAACUGCCUUUCAAACUGCAUGACUUGAGUCCGGGAGAGGUGAGUGGAAUUCCCAGUGUAGCGGUGAAAUGCGUAGAUAUUGGGAGGAACACCAGUGGCGAAGGCGGCUCACUGGACCGGAACUGACGCUGAGGCGCGAAAGCGUGGGGAGCAAACGGGG
rnacentral:rRNA from 1 species